GCUUAGCUGCCUAUAAAGCUGUAACAGUUUAGCCCGUGGCCACUGAGAGAAGAAUAUAAGUUAACCUCUGUAGUGACCAUGGGGAAGUCCUGACCUUCCUUGCAGACUUGACCUCUGGAUAUGACAAGGUGGCUUCACUACAGAUCUACCAAUUAAUCCUGGAAACUAAAAACCAAAAACAAAUCAAAAAAAAAAAAAAAAAAAACCAAAAAAACAACUUCACAGCAAGAAAGAUACAGAAUAUUUCCUGAGAAGUCAGAAGAACCUAAUGUAUUCUGGUGGGCAAAAGAAAAUAGGGUGAAUGUUUACAGUUACUUGGGGGGAGUGAGGUGGGGUUCUGUGUUCACUGAUACGGCCCUUUGCUUCCCUCGGCUCAUGGAAAGAAGUGCUGAAUCAGCGAAUAGAGUGAAGGACCGAUCAAGAGGAGAUGGCAGCUGCUGAUGUGACUCUCUAGGUCAUUAUCUCUCUUCCUCCUGCAAAAGCUGCAUGGCACUAAACUUACAGGAUCUAGAAGCAAACUACAAAAUAAGAAGAAAUUCCUCUGAAGACAAUGAAGAAACACUAGGCUGAUCUUACCAAUUUCUGAAAUAUACUCUGUAAAACCUCCACUGAUUCUAUGAAUCUCUUGCAAAAACAACCAGACCAGGACAAAGUUCAACAGAUAACUGGUUAGUGUUUAGACGUAUCUAUGUCCACCAAGAACAAGGAGCCAUGAAUGGCACUAAUGCCAUGCUUCAGGUAAAUCUAUUAUAGUUUAGUCUUUGAUAGUCUCUGCCAAUGAUCUACCACUACUCUGUAUCAGUAAACUAAAUGUUUUACUAACAAAUGGGAAAAUAAAACAUUUCAUGUUUUUACAGCUAACAACUUAGUAAAACCUACUCAGAGUACAUACUUCUUUAUGUACCCAUAUGAACAUACAAUGCUAUGGAAUGUAAAGAAGUAUGUAUUUUUGGUAGGCAAUAAACUGCCAGGAGGGAACUACACUGCAGCUAAAAGAAGCUCUUGCUUCUUUCUAUGUGAAUGACCUUCAUAUGGUAAAUUAACCUAGUAUCAAAGAGAUGACCUUUGGCAAUACUAACACCAUAAAAAUGUACCUACUACUUUUAGAUGGAAACUAAAUGCUGUGAAGAUUUCUACUUUGUGAAGAAUCAACCAAGGAGAUUUAAAAUUAUCAAGAAACUCCUUUUACAUCUUCUAAGUUUAAAAUGUACUAUGUUUUACAUUUUUAAAUUAAGUAUUCACAUGAUUAAAAUUUGAAUACUGAAAAGAAAUCAGUAUUACUAGAACAAAAGAGUGAGGGAUACACAUGACCUAUUUUCUGUCUCCACAAUAUGAUCUUAAUUGAAGUAUAUAUCAUAUUAGUAGGAUUAACUGAUUUGUUAAGAAUAACAAGGUAUAACAAAAGCUGAUGUCAUUACAUUUUAGCAAUUGUUCUUGAUAGUUUGAUAAAUUUAUAGUCUACUAAUAUUAGAGGAAUUUCUGAACAAGUUUUGUUGUUUUAAGCUUUC